rnacentral:misc_RNA from 1 species
AAGUCGUAACAAGGUUUCCGUAGGUGAACCUGCGGAAGGAUCAUUAAUGAAUUUUUAGGGCGCUCUUUUUAGAGGUCCGACCAAUUUCAUUUCCACACACUGUGAACACACUUCAUUUUUACACACAUUUAUUAACACACAAGUCUAUAAGAAUGUUUAAAGUCUCUUAAUUGAGCAUAAAGUUAUAAUACAACUUUCGGCAACGGAUCUCUUGGCUCUC